AUGAGAAAGAUGAGGACGAGAAAGAUGAGGGCAACGGAGGAGCAGGAGCCGAAUCUUGCCGUCGCCGAGGUGGUGGCGGAGGAGACGGCGACGAAGACCAAUGGGGAGCCGGAGCCGGAGCGCAGGGUGGUGAACGGCAAGAGGAUGGUGAGGAAGAGGCUGCCCAUGAAGAAGGUGCGCCGCGUGCUCGCCAUCGAUCACAAGCCGGUCGUCAUCCCGUCUCCGGCGAGAGACCUCCCGCCGGCGGUCCUCGCCUCCAUGAAGCUGCGCCAGGCCCGCGUCGCCAAGAUCCACAAGGUCCAGGACGACAUCCGCGAGGACCUCCGCACCAAGGGCUACGUCAUGGGCUGGGUCACCGACGACGACGAGUAG
rnacentral:rRNA from 1 species